GAUGAACGCUGGCGGCGUGCUUAACACAUGCAAGUCGAACGGACGAUGAAGAGCUUGCUUUUCAGAGUUAGUGGCGGACGGGUGAGUAACGCGUGGGUAACCUGCCUCAUACAGGGGGGAUAGCAGCUGGAAACGGCUGAUAAAACCGCAUAAGCGCACAGCAUCGCAUGAUGCAGUGUGAAAAACUCCGGUGGUAUGAGAUGGACCCGCGUCUGAUUAGCUGGUUGGUGAGGUAACGGCCCACCAAGGCGACGAUCAGUAGCCGGCCUGAGAGGGUGACCGGCCACAUUGGGACUGAGACACGGCCCAAACUCCUACGGGAGGCAGCAGUGGGGAAUAUUGCACAAUGGGGGAAACCCUGAUGCAGCGACGCCGCGUGAAGGAAGAAGUAUCUCGGUAUGUAAACUUCUAUCAGCAGGGAAGAUAAUGACGGUACCUGACUAAGAAGCCCCGGCUAACUACGUG
rnacentral:rRNA from 1 species